ACGAACGCUGGCGGCGUGCUUAACACCUGCCAGUCGAACGCUGAAGCUUGGUGCUUGCACUGGGUGGAUGAGUGGCGAACGGGUGAGUAAUACGUGAGUAACCUGCCCUUGACUCUGGGAUAAGCCUGGGAAACUGGGUCUAAUACUGGAUACGACAUGUCACCGCAUGGUGGUGUGUGGAAAGGGUUUUACUGGUUUUGGAUGGGCUCACGGCCUAUCAGCUUGUUGGUGGGGUAAUGGCUCACCAAGGCGACGACGGGUAGCCGGCCUGAGAGGGUGACCGGCCACACUGGGACUGAGACACGGCCCAGACUCCUACGGGAGGCAGCAGUGGGGAAUAUUGCACAAUGGGCGGAAGCCUGAUGCAGCGACGCCGCGUGAGGGAUGACGGCCUUCGGGUUGUAAACCUCUUUCAGCACGGAAGAAGCGAAAGUGACGGUACGUGCAGAAGAAGCGCCGGCUAACUACGUG
rnacentral:rRNA from 1 species